UUGAAAAGUACAAGUUUCGUCUGGACAUAGCCAUAGGCGACUUUUAUUACUUGUUUGACAAGAUAAGCUUACAUCAAAUACAAUCAAAGGAGAAAUCUAUUAAAAAGCUGAAGGAACUUUUCCAACAGAAGAAAGACAUUGCUUCAAGACUAGAAUUAAAAUAUCACACAUUGCUUGCCGAGGAAGUCAUGACAAGAACAGCAAUAAAACUGCUGGAACGCAGUCUGUGGGAAUAUCUGAAAUUUCAUUUGGUGGACAAAAAGGAAGGAGGCCCAUCAUUAAAACAAACCAAUGUAAAGUACUGGUACGAUAAAGUGGGUCUACAACAUUGUUCUAUAAAUGUAGAAAACAUGAAAGAGAAAUACAGCUCUAAAUACAAGUUUACUCU